CCAAGUUAAUAAGAUCUCUCCGCGUGUGUGUGUGUGUGUGUGUGUGUGUGUGUAUAUAUAUAUAUACACACAUACAUUUACAUGUGUAUAUACACAUAAA
rnacentral:miRNA from 1 species